GAUCCCAUUACGUGUCUGCAUGCUGUACCUCUCUUUCAGCUGAGUAAGGGCACUCAUUAGCCGUGCGUUGGCAGCAUCCAGUGAAGCAAUGCGUUUCUCCUGCGAAGGAACAGCAGAGGGGAACGGUCAGUGGAGACGAGCCCCGAGGCAGCCAGGAUCUGGCCCCUUCUCCUCUGGCAGUCUUACAGAGGCUUUGACACAUCAGGCUUUUAAACAAAUGGAAUCGGAGCUAAAUUAAUUUUAUCAUCCCGUGUAAUAAUUGGUCCUGAACGAAAUGGAGAUAAAGUACUCGUUUUCUAAUUUUUCAGUGAUACAGAAAUUAAUUGUAUUGUUUGCUCUAACUGCAGCUGUUAGGAAGAUGAUAAGACUCAUGUUCUAAAAUCUAGUUCUCUCCCAAGAUGAUUAUUCCUGCCAGUGUUUAAUUGAUUUUGUUAGUGUAAAUAAAUGGUUUAAAUGA